rnacentral:lncRNA from 1 species
ACAGCACUUCCACCAGAAGACAGAUCAGUCACUCAAGAAGACUUCUGGAGCUAGAGGAGCACUUAGGGUCAUUCAGCACACACGGGGAGAUUGGGAUCCAGAGAGAGAAAAUUGGGGUUAUGGUAAGCACGAUGGCAUCUGCUUCCUGGAGCAAAGUGAAACGGUGCCCUGGAGUGAUGGAAACGUGGUCCCUUUAAGUACAGAAAAAAAUACCCUUUCUGCUCUCAGGUCUAACCUUUGAGCCUCACUCACCUGCAGCUGGCAGAGCAGAGAUGGGGCUGUCUGUGAUGUCACAGAGCCUGGGAACCAGGGAAUGUUAGGGACAGGGGUUUGGACUGACUGUGAAGGGAGGAGGGAGAAAGCAAAUGCUGGCCGUUUCUCCAGUGGUCUUUCCCGCUGUUCCCAAUGCCAUGCAGUCCUUUGGGCGCACUGAAACGAAGUCCUGGUGCCUCUUGUGAAUGCAUCCUCUGGUGAGGAUGGCUGAGCCGUAAGGGGGCAGUAUAGUACCGGAAGCCAAAGACCUGGGUCCGCAUUCUGUCUCCUACCCAGCUAGGUGGUAAUCUUAGGCCAAUAGACUUUACUCCUCGGUUUCUUCCUCUUUAAAAUGGGAACAAUAAUAAUUAUUAUUAAUUUAUCUAAUUAAGCAAUUGAAUCAGUUAUACUUUCGGGAUUAAGUGCGAGCAGGAAAACACUUAACAUGGUGUCUAGGUGUAGUAAACACUCAAGAAAUUGUUACUAAUGUUAUGUGCAAAAAUAAAGGCACAUUCUCUGCUCUUUCAGGAAAAGGAGAAUCAUUUUAUAUUGGAAUCCUGGCAAAAUCUCUCACCUUUAGGGCACUCUCUAUUCCUUUAUUUAGGACAGCCGAGUACUAUUUUGGGAAGCCAAAUUAGGUUGAAAUGUUCUCAAUCAGUGCUAUUUUUGGAGGCUUAUAGGAGGUCACCUGAUACAAGUGGAACAGAAGAAAGCAAAAAUUCAGCACAGUUUUGGUGUCCUGGUGGAAAGGUGGGUGGGGGUUGAGGUGUGAGGGAGGUGUGACCUAACCAUUGCAAAUACUUGAUGGUGGGUUAAAUAGUCUUUUAAACCUCACUUGUAAAGAAAUACUCCCAAUGGUAACAUUGAAAGUUGUCAACUCUGGCUGCAAGUGAGUUUCAACUGAGAUGUUUUUAAAAUGUAAGAUUGCCCUGGGGCCUAACUCCAGAUAAAUUAGCAUCCCUGGGGGGAGUGGCAGGUGGAGCCUGGGGAUCAGUAUUUUUACAAGCUUUCUAGGUGAUUCUUACAUGAAAUCAGGACUGAAAACUACUGGAGUUCUCAUCGUGGCUCAGUGGUUAAUGAAUCUGAUUAGGAACCAUGAGGUUUCAGUGUUCGAUCCCUGGUCCCACUCAGAGGGUUAUGGAUCUGGUGUUGCCGUGAGCUGUGUAUAGGUCGCAGAUGCAGCUCGGAUCCCUCGUUGCUGUGGCUGUGGCGUAGGCUGACUACAGCUCCAAUUAGACCCCUAUCCUAGGAACCUCCAUGUGCCGCAGGUGUGGCUCUAGGAAAAAAAAAACAAAAAACAAAGAUGGAAAACUACUAACUUUUUAUUAGGAAGCAAAGACUUCCCUUAGAGUCACGGGAGGAAUUUCUAAAAAUGCCGCACCUGGUGAGUUCCCGUCAUGGCGCAGUGGUUAACGUAUCCGACUAGGAACCAUGACGUUGCGGGUUCGGUCCCUGGCCUUGCUCAGUGGGUUAACGAUCCGGCGUUGCCGUGAGCUGUGGUGUAGGUUGCAGACGCCGCUCGGAUCCCGCGUUGCUGUGGCUCUGGCGUAGGCUGGUGGCUACAGCUCCGAUUCAACCCCUAGCCUGGGAACCUCCAUAUGCUGCGGGAGCGGCCCAAGAAAUAGC